rnacentral:sRNA from 1 species
CAUCCGUUCGAAUCGGAUAUUCUCUGUAAGAGUGUAGUUUAAUUGGCAAAAUAGGAAGCUUCAACCUUCAAAUUCUUGGUUCGAGUCCAAGUACUCUUGUAUAAGCGGGUUGUGGCUGAGUGGUAAAGCGCUUUCUUUGGGAGAAAGAGCUCCUAGGUUCAAUUCCUAGCAACCCGACAUAUUUAGAACAAAUAGAAAUAAAAAAGAUAUAUAAAUUAUACUUAUAAAAAUAUAAGUAUACAAAGAAAUUAUUAUGGAAUUUAAGCUAUGUAUUAAAGAGAAUAAUUUAUAAAAAUAAGAUAAUAUAUCUUAUUAAUAUAUAAACUCUAAAAGAAAUUUUAUAUUAAACGAAGUGAAUUGAAAUAUCUUAGUAACUUUAGGAAAAGAAAUCAAAAGAGAUUCUAUAAAUAGCGUGAGUGAAAAUAGAAAAGUCUAAAAAUUAAAACGGUAUUUAAACUGUUUGAAGUAUAUGGGGAACCUUCCUCAAAGACUAAAUAUAAUACAUAAGCGAUAGUGAAAAGUACCGUGAGGGAACCAAAAUAUAAAUAGUAAUUUUAUAAGCAGUUCUAAUAAAAAAGAACGUACCUUUUGCAUAAUGGGUCACCAAGUUAACAUUAGAUGCGAGAUAAUCCGUAGAUAAACCAAACGUUAAAAUAACGCUUAGUGUCUAAAGUUAGACCCGAAGCCUGGUGAUUUUACCAUAAUCAGGAUUUUAAAGGUCCGAACGGGUGAUUGUAGCAAAAAUCUCCGAAGAAUUGUGGUAGGUAUAGUGAAAGACAAUACUGACUAGGAUAGCUGGUUUUCUGCGAAACCUAUAAUAGUAGGCAAUUUAAGUAAAUAUCUUAGCAGGUACAGAACUUAAUCUCAGACAAUUUCGUAUUGUACAAAUUGGGGGAUCGUGAAGAUUUUAUCAGUGAGUAUGCAGACUCGGAAUGGCAAAGAUAUGUCUUAAAUUAUCAGACAUAGAAUGAUAAGGUUGUAUGUCAAAAGGGAAACAGCCCAGAACAAGAGUUAAGGUUCCUAAAUUAUUAGUUAAGUGAAAUUAAGAAAGUUUUUAUUAAAGUCGACAAGGAGAUAGGCUUAGAAGCAGCCAUAAUUUUAUGACCUCGUAACAGAGCGCUUGUUAAGUUAUAAAAGCAUCGAAAAUUUAACGGAUCUAAACAAUAUACCGAAACCUUGUCCAUAAAUAUUUCUAAUAAUUCAUUAGAUGUUUAUGGGGUAGCAGAACAUUGAGUUAAACUAUGAAUUUUAUUUUGAUAAUAAAAUAAUUAUAACUCAAGUGAGAAUGGUGACAUGAGUAACGAAAAGAAAUUUGAAAAAAUUUCCGCCUAAAGCUUAUGGAUAGAAUUAAGUAACGGCCUCUAAAUUUGUAUUAUCUAAAGAUUCAAAUGAUGAGAAAAUCUUAAUUAUUAAUGACGACAUUUUAGUGAAAAAUGUACAGGAAAAAUAAUAAUAUAUUUAUUAUAUUUAUAUAAUAAAUUAAAUAGAACCGUACCUAGAAUCUGAAACAAGUAAGCUAGUAGAGUAUACGAAGGCGUAAAUGAGCUAACAAUCAUAAAGGAACUCGGCAAAUUGACUACCGUAACUUCGGAAUAAGGAGGGCUCAUUAUUCUUGAUUAAUAUCAAGUAAAGAGGAAGAAGCAUGAAAUAAUGUUGUACGACUGUUUAAUUAAAACACAGCACUUUGCUGAAAGAUUAAAAAUCUAUGUAUAAAGUGUGAUAUCUGCCCGGUGCCGGCUGGUUAACAGAGAGAAUUAAAUAUAAUACUAUUUGAUGUCGACGGAAACCCCGGUUAAAGGCGGCCUUAACGUGAGGGUCCUAAGGUAGCGAAAUGCCUUGGCCGUUAAAUGCGGUCUUGCAUGAAUGGUGUAACGAUACAACAGCUGUCUCUAUGAUUGACUCAGUGAAAUUGGAAUAGCUGUGCAGAUACAGUUUACCUCUAGUUAGACGAGAAGACCCUAUGCAGCUUUACUGUCACUAAUUAUAGAUUAUGAAAAACGAUUUUCAGACUAUAAGGUAAUUGAUUUUUUGAUCAUGAGAAACCUUUAUUUUUUUUUCAUAUGAAUGAAUUAAUUUACGAUUAUAAUUAAUUUUAUUUUAGUAAAUUAACCUAAUUCAACUUAUCUUUUAUAGAUAAGUACCCUUUGGUAAGGAACUAUCGCUAGGGGACAGUUUAUGUGGGGCACAGACCCUGUAAAGAGUAAACAGGAGUGUCUAAAAAUUUAAUUUAUUUUGUUUGCUAUUUUAAAUAGAUAAUUUAUUAUCUAUUUUUAAUCAUAUAUAUUUGAGUUUAUUUACAAUAUUGUAAAUAUAUUCAAAAUUAGGUAAGAUUUUUACUAUACAGAAAUUAGAGAUAAUCAGAAAUAUUAUUUAUUAUUGUAAUAUUUCUAAACUGUUUAAUAACAGUUAUGUUUUAAAUAUCUACAAAGCUCAACGGCUUAAUCUUGCCUUACUGUUUGAUUAUCUACAAAUCUUACAGUUGCGUAAGCAGGGCAUAGGAUCACAAGAUGCAAUAAGGAAAGAUCUUGGAUUAUUGGAAAAGCUACGCUAGGGAUGUUUGUCCUUUAAUAUUUUAUUUAUUGUUUAUUUUUAUAAAUAUUUAUAUAAAAUUAUUAAUAUAAAUUGGGUAAAUUUCAAGAAUUACUAUUUUUAGUAAACUUGAAGCGAAGUUUAUCUUGGCAUAAAAUUAAGAUAAAAACGUUCAACGACUAUAAGGUGAGUAUUAUGCUGUAAUUACUAUAAUCCUUUUAACACUACCCAACAUUUUGAACAACAUAUUAUAAUUAUAAAAUACCUUAUUACUUUUAAAUUAUGAAAAUUUUUAAUAAUAAUAUCUUAAAAAAUCCUAAAACUAUACUU